GACAGGAAUCCUGGCACUUAUGUCAACGUACAACACAUGAGGUUGCUGAGUAUACCAGAUUACAAGGUGUUGAAACAAGUGUUCUUCUCUUUCGCUAUGUGCAUCGAAGCUUUUCGGCAUUGUCCUCCUGUUAUGUUUGUGGAUGGUACAUUCCUGACCGGUCAGUAUAGAGGGCAAAUCCUGACUGCUAUUGGUGUGGACGGGAACAAUCAAAUCAUCCCACUUGCCAUGGCAUUUGUGGACGGUGAGAACUUUCCCAGCUGGGUAUGGUUCCUCCGGCAAGUGAAAAUUGCCAUUGUGAAGGACCGACCAAACGUGUGUGUCAUUCAUGACAGACAUGCUGGUAUAUUGAAGGCCGUGAAGACACUACGUAAU
rnacentral:rRNA from 1 species